ensembl:lncRNA
CACCAACCCAGACAGGAUGAUCACAUCAGUGACUCAACCCACUCAGGUGACGCACCCCUCCCAGGGACGGUAUGAGAGAGCCCAGUAAGCCAGUGACUCAGCCCCUGUAAUAGGGUUAGAGGCAGAGAAUCCCAGUGGAAAGAGGGGAACUGGCCAGGCAGAGACAGCAAGGGCGGUUCGUUGCUCCAGAGCCUUUCCGUUCACCUUCCCACUCCUGGGCCAGACUACACUCAAUCAUAUGACCCACUGAAGAGAUGAGUCUUCAGUAAAGACUUAAAGGUUGAGACCGAGUUUGCGUCUCUGACAUGGGUAGGCAGACCGUUCCAUAAAAAUGGACCGUUCCAUAAAACGGACCGUUCCAUAAAAAUGGAGCUCUACUACUAACUACUAAUUUUGAAAAUUACUCUCUCCAGAAAUAAGUCUCUCACGGUUGCCGCCUGCUACCGACCCCCCUCAGCUCCCAGCUGUGCCCUGGACACCAUUUGUGAAUUGAUCGCCCCCCAUCUAGCUUCAGAGUUUGUUCUGUUAGGUGACCUAAACUGGGAUAUGCUUAACACCUCGCCAGUCCUACAAUCUAAGCUAGAUGCCCUCAAUCUCACACAAAUCAUCAAGGAACCCACCAGGUACAACCCUAACUCUGUAAACAAGGGCACCCUCAUAGACGUCAUCCUGACCAACUGGCCCUCCAAAUACACCUCCGCUGUCUUCAACCAGGAUCUCAGCGAUCACUGCCUCAUUGCCUGUAUCCGCUACGGAGCCGCAGUCAAACGACCACCCCUCAUCACUGUCAAACGCUCCCUAAAACACUUCUGUGAGCAGGCCUUUCUAAUCGACCUGGCCCGGGUAUCCUGGAAGGACAUUGACCUCAUCCCGUCAGUUGAGGAUGCCUGGUCAUUCUUCAAAAGUAACUUCCUCACCAUUUUAGAUAAGCAUGCUCCGUUCAAAAAAUGCAGAACUAAGAACAGAUACAGCCCUUGGUUCACCCCAGACCUGACUGCCCUCGACCAGCACAAAAACAUCCUGUGGCGGACUGCAAUAGCAUCGAAUAGUCCCCGUGAUAUGCAACUGUUCAGGGAAGUCCGGAACCAAUACACGCAGUCAGUCAGGAAAGCUAAGGCCAGCUUCUUCAGGCAGAAGUUUGCAUCCUGUAGCUCCAACUCCAAAAAGUUCUGGAACACCGUGAAGUCCAUGGAGAACAAGAGCACCUCCUCCCAGCUGCCCACUGCACUGAGGCUAGGUAACACGGUCACCACUGAUAAAUCCAUGAUUAUCGAAAACUUCAAUAAGCAUUUCUCAACGGCUGGCCAUGCCUUCCGCCUGGCUACUUCAACCUCGGCCAACAGCUCCGCCCCCCCCGCAGCUCCUCGCCCAAGCCUCUCCAGGUUCUCCUUUAACCAAAUCCAGAUAGCAGAUGUUCUGAAAGAGCUGCAAAACCUGGACCCGUACAAAUCAGCUGGGCUUGACAAUCUGGACCCUCUAUUUCUGAAACUAUCUGCCACCAUUGUCGCAACCCCUAUUACCAGCCUGUUCAACCUCUCUUUCAUAUCGUCUGAGAUCCCCAAGGAUUGGAAAGCUGCCGCAGUCAUCCCCCUCUUCAAAGGGGGAGACACCCUGGACCCAAACUGUCACAGACCUAUAUCCAUCCUGCCCUGCCUAUCUAAGGUCUUCGAAAGCCAAGUCAAC